UCACUUGCAACAUGUAAUCAGCCGACAUUAGGGUUCCUUGUUUUCGGAACACCUCGCCUCCUAUCAUUCCGGAUAUAACAGCGUAAGACAGCCCAGGAAUCAUUCGACCAUUCGCUGUUGGACAAUUGUGACGACACGGUCUUGUCGUUUUACCUCCAGUCUUGGUGAUUAAAUUUCCAAAACAAUGAAAAGCAAAUUAUUUUUUGCACUUCUGGUAUGUGCCAUUGGGUACAUCAUCGCCCAGAAUAAUCGGAGAAAAGAUGUGUAUUACCAGGCUAACACUAACGUUGUCAGGGAGGUGUUUGUUCCCAUCAGUAGACCCGGCAGUAACAACGUCGGUCCCACCGUAGACUACAUCCUCCUCGGCGUCGGACUUACCGUGAUCUAUUUCAUCCUCUGCAAUGGUACCAGGGAUUUGAUUGCAUGAUCCUUGCUGACAGUUCUCACUACCGAAGAGCACCAGGUCAAAGACACGGAUUACCUACCGACAGUACAACGAGGGGUUUUGGCCUGGCUCAAUGUCACAGGAUAUUCUACUGGCUGUUAGAUUUUCGAAUAGAAUAUAGUUACAUUGUUUUAAA